rnacentral:lncRNA from 1 species
AUGCCAGGAUAUAGACAGAGCCAUGCACUUUACAUUUUACAUCAAUUAAAAAAUUAAAAUGAAUUUUAUGUUAAUUUUAUGGUUUUGUGAGAAAAAAAAUGUAUUUCUGUUCCACAUUAUAGGAAAAAAAAUUUUGCUUUCCUUCUCAUAAGAAAAAAAAAAUUUUGUCGGAGGAAGGUUCUGAAAAAAAAAUUAUGAACACAAUAAAAAUCCCAGGCCCCCCCCCCCCCAGAUAAGAAAAUGGUUGUUGCCUUAUGGUCAUUGUAACAUGUGCCUGUUUUGUCUAAUUUGGCCAAUGGAUUUUUCCUUUGUAGAUUUUUUUUUUAAUCAUUAUUUUUUUUUUGUG